UACGUAGGUCCCGAGCGUUGUCCGGAUUUAUUGGGCGUAAAGCGAGCGCAGGUGGUUUAUUAAGUCUGGUGUAAAAGGCAGUGGCUCAACCAUUGUAUGCAUUGGAAACUGGUAGACUUGAGUGCAGGAGAGGAGAGUGGAAUUCCAUGUGUAGCGGUGGUAUGCGUAGAUAUAUGGAGGAACACCGGUGGCGAAAGCGGCUCUCUGGCCUGUAACUGACACUGAGGCUCGAAAGCGUGGGGAGCAAACAGG
rnacentral:rRNA from 1 species